rnacentral:rRNA from 1 species
GAUGUAGGCGGCUUGGUAAGUGUCCCGUGAAAUCCCACGGCUCAACCGUGGAACUGCGGGGCAAACUGCUUGGCUUGAGGUCGGUAGAGGCGCUUGGAACUCUAGGUGGAGCGGUGAAAUGCGUAGAUAUCUAGAGGAACACCAGUGGCGAAAGCGGAGCGCUGGGCCGAUUCUGACGCUGAGAUCCGAAAGCGUGGGGAGCAAACAGGAUUAGAUACCCUGGUAGUCC